rnacentral:tRNA from 1 species
GGUUUGUGGCAUAGUGAUAGAGCACUUGCCUAGCAUGUAUGAGGCACUGGGUUCAAUCCUCAGCACCA